GAACUUGGCCAAUAUCCAGCCAUCUUGGCCUCACGCUUGGUCAAUAACCCAUAUGUAUUUUCCAUCCACACGAUCACUGUUAAAUGAUAACUGACUAAAACUGUGUUGCUGAAUGUGUAGCAACAAGAGGGUAACAAGUUAUGAUUUUUUGUUUUUUGUUUUUUUGUUCCUCGCCAGUGGUACCUGGGGCUGGUAGAUAAUGCUCCAUGUCGGUUAAUUAAAAAUAUUAACUCCGCUGAAGACAAGAUGACGCAGCUUCAUGAACAACUUAAGACCCAUCAAGAUAGCAUCAUGGCGUUAAGAACAGAAAUGCGGUCUCAAAGAACAAUACUCGAGAACAUCUCAAGACAGUUUGGAGCGCACUCUCCAGUCAGUACCAGAACUGACCUCCUGGAUGACUUCUAAGACAUACUCAGCAUUUAACAGCAAUUGAUUCAGCCAGGCUCGAUGUCAAUUUACAGGAUUACAUCGAAAGACAUCUUAACAAUUUCCCGUGUCCGUAUUACUCGACCUUAAAACAAUGAUUAUAAACCAAAAGUCAAUUUAAGCUCGGCUCUUGCCAAAAAUGCGCUGCUACAUGAACCGCGUGUACAUAUAUGCUCGAAUUAUUGCUUCAAGUUAUUCCAGGUAAUGUGUACAGUUAUAAACCAGUAGGGUCGCUAUAGAACUUACAGUAGCUAAUACAGUAGACGCUACAGUAGACGAUAAAGUAAAUGACGUGUAAUAGGAAAUGUGGUCAGAAGUAAUGUAAAUGGCUGAUUAUGAGCAUUGAUUAAUUUAUUAAUGUUUACACUUAAAAACUAAGAUCUAUGUUAUAUUUCCUUAAGAGAAUCUUGAAGUACGUUGUAUUCAUGCCCAUCACAAUACAAACCUUACACAAGGCAGAAAUAAAAUCAAAGUUAGCACUGUA